UACGUAGGGUGCAAGCGUUAAUCGGAAUUACUGGGCGUAAAGCGUGCGCAGGCGGUUUUGUAAGCCAGGUGUGAAAUCCCCGGGCUCAACCUGGGAAUGGCAUUUGGGACUGCAAGGCUGGAGUGCGGCAGAGGAGACUGGAAUUCCUGGUGUAGCAGUGAAAUGCGUAGAUAUCAGGAGGAAUACCGAUGGCGAAGGCAGGUCUCUGGGCUGACACUGACGCUCAUGCACGAAAGCGUGGGGAGCAAACAGG
rnacentral:rRNA from 1 species